GAGUUCCGAUUUUAUUAAUCAGUUAGGGUUAUGGAUACCUUCAUCAAUUAGUUAGUGUGUAGUUAACUAAGAAUUUGGUUCUUUGCUACCUUGUUAAACUGGAUGCAGGCUCAUUAAUCCUUUUAGAUUAGUUAUGAAAUGAUGAGCUAAGGUAUGAAAGUUGACAUGUUUGUCAUUGAAUUGUAUCACAGCUGCUAUGUAUUGUUUAAGAGCAUAUGAAAAAAAAAAAAAAAAAAAAAAAAAAAAAAAAAAAAGAACUUUUGUGUCUUGA
rnacentral:lncRNA from 1 species